CACAUCCUCUUCAAGACUUCAAAAACCCCUUCGCUUGUUACUCCUCUCUCUCUCCCGUUCACAAAAUCACAACCCAUCUUUCUUAGCCAACAAUGAAACCUUCCAACCUCCUAAACCCUCAGACCCUUAAACCCCAAAAUCUCAGACCCAUUUUCCUCACAAGUCACAACCCAAUCCCCAUCUCUCUCUUUACUCACCCAACCCAACACAAUCCCCAUCGGCGUUGUUUUGGACUUGCUGGUGAGUGCUUGCCGUGAAUUGAAGAGGGCUGGUGACGCUUUUGUGAGUGCGUUAAAUUGAUGACGAGUGACAAUGUUAUGCCUAGGACUAAGACUUGUAAUGAAUUGUUGAGUUUGUUUUUGAAAUUGAAUCGAACCGAGAGGGCUUGGGUUUUGUAUGCUGUCCAGUGUUUGUAUUUUUAACAUCAUGAUUGAUUAAUGUGUUGUGUAAAGAAGGCAAGCUGAACAAGGCAAAGUAGUUUCUUGGGUUUAUGGAGAUUUUGGGGAUUAAGCCUACUGUUGUUACCUAUAAUACUAUCAUUCAUGGGCUUUGUCUGAGAGGCAGAGUUGGAGGGGCUCAGAUGAUUUUUGGUGCUAUGAGAGGUAGGGGAGUUCAGCCGGAUUCUUACACAUAUGGAUUGCUUAUUGGUGGGAUGUGUAAGGAAAGAAGACUUGAUGAAGCGUCUGGUUUUUUUGAUAAAAUGCUGGAAAUUGGGCUGCUUCCAUGUGCUGUUACUUGUUUCACAUUGAUUGAUGGUUAUUGCAAUAAGGGUGAUCUGGACAGGGCUUUCGGUUAUAGAGAUGAGAUGGUGAACAAGGGAAACUUAUACAUCGCUUAUUUAUGUUUUUGAGUAAAAGGAAGAGAAUGAAUGACGCAGAUGACUUGUUUGAAAAGUUACCGUGUAAGGGUGUUCUGCCGGAUCUUGUGAUGUUCAAUACCUUGAUUGAUGGUCAUUUGUAAUUCACUUUUCAAAAUUUGGAUGCAGUGGUUAUUUAUACGCGUUUAUAAUUCGCUUUUCUUUGCUUCUGUUUCUAAUAGUUGGAUCUAAAGAGAAAUGAGAUGAGGUGCAUAUAUGGGAAAACAGUAUGCUUUGAGAGGCAAUCAAACUUCUAAGUUGUCGUUGUAAAACCUCAGGCACUGCAAUAGAAAAGAGAAGAAGGCGAAUCAGUUUCAUCUCCAAUUUCACAGAACAAUCCUCAUUGAACAAAAUCAGGAGUAGGUUUCCUUCAUCUGCAUAUACAUGAUUACCUCCUAUGUUUAACAUACAGAGUUUCUUGAACUAAGUGGGCACUAAUUACAGAUUUACAGUUAUCAUGAUUUGACUGUAAAAACUCAAGAGGAAGCUAAUGAAGUCAGGAUCAGUAAAAUGCCAAAUGGUCUUCAUAAUUGUUGUAUUCAUAAUUGAAAAAAAAAAAUAUAUAUAUAUAUAUAUUUUUGGGUAUUCUUAGGUUGUUUACUGUAGUAUCAUCAUAUUUGUUUGCUGCAGUUUAUUUUCAACAAUCCUAUGAGUACUUUACGGGCCUGAAAAAUCUUUGCUGAAAUCGUAUUUUUGUUUCAUGUCAUUAUCUAAUUCAAUGGUUGAAGGAAAUGAAUUCCAAUCUCGCAUCUUUAAUUACUGAUAAAACUAGAUUGCCUAAAAUUUUUGCUUCUAUAUUCAUAGGAUCCCUACAAUCUUUCUGAACAUUUCAUCUUUUCCGCAAAUUUUCCUAUAUGAAUGAUAUAAAUUGCUUUGCUUUUCUUUUGUCUUUGGAGCAAACACACCUUUAUAGCUUAUGACUUCAUAAUUAAUUAAAUGACAUUUUCAGGUUAUUAAUAGCCUUAUUCCAGGUCUUCAGAAUGCUUUCUUGAUUGUACUGCUUCUGGAGAGAGCACUUGAAGAAUGUGGUGAUGAUUUGGAUUCAGCUAUCAGAAGUUUGAAUGAGCUACGCUUAAGUUCUGCUGCAAAUAAAUCUGGUGCAGCAUCAGAAGCAAGUCGGCAACCCCAUGCACAAGGGCAAGCACUACCCUGGAACUCUGUUGAUUGCUCUUGCUGGAAGGGUUGUCUUUUUGAAGCAUCUUUCUUCUGGCUUGCUUUUGGUCACUGUUUAGUUGAGUUUUUCUUAACUGAGAGAGAGAUUGUUUUUACUUUUCGUUACCAAGUAGUGCCUUUUGAUCAAUGUACAUGUAGUUUGUUAUGUUUAGUGUGUUUGUGCUGCAGAUUUUAGAAUAUGUAAAACGAUGUGUAAUGUAUUUAAUAUUUGUAAAUGCAGUAUUUCUAAGCUAAACCAUAUUGACAAGCAGCAUCGCGCGGGCCUUA